ensembl:lncRNA
UGUUGGAUAAGUGAGACUCUACUGUAUUAUUAUUAUUAUUAUUACAGUAGAGUCUCACUUAUUUAUUUAUUUAUUUAUUUACAGCAUUUAUAUUCCGCCCUUCUCACCCCGAAGGGGACUCAGGGCGGAUCACAUUACACACAUCAGGCAAACAUUCAAUGCCUUUUUAACAUAGGACAAAGACAAACAACAAACAUAGCUCCGAGCGGGCCUCGAACUUAUGACCUCCUGGUCAGUGAUUCAUUGCUCUCCCAUCUGCGCCACAGCCUCGUCUGCGCACUUAUCCAACACUCGCUUAUCCAACGUUCUGGAUUAUCCAACGCAUUUUUGUAGUCAAUGUUUUCAAUAUAUCAUGAUAUUUUGGUGCUAAAUUCGUAAAUACAGUAAUUACUACAUAGCAUUACUGUGUAUUGAACUACAUUUUCUGUAAAAUUUGUUGUAUAACAUGAUGUUCUGGUGCUUAAUUUGUAAAAUCAUAACCUAAUUUGAUGUUUAAUAGGCUUUUCCUUAAUCUCUUCUUAUUAUCCAACAUAUUCGCUUAUCCAACAUUCUGACGGCCCGUUCACGUUGGAUAAGCGAGACUCUACUGUAUAUAUAUAAUGUUUAUUUAUUUUCAUUCAUUCAAAUAUACAUACAUUGCAAGUGUUUGUUGCAUACAGUGCAAUAUUUUCAUCUAUUAGUCUUUCAUAAUCAUUUCUCAGACAAUAUAUUUUCAAUAAGGGGUCACAGGCUUCUAUUUGUAUAGUACAUAUAAAAUAUUAUAAGUUCUAAAUUUUUAUCCGUUCCUCCUUGCCUUCAGUCUAUUAACUUCCUCUAUGUACAUUUGUAGAUUAAUUUUACAUUGAAAUGUUGGAUCAUUGGUUGCCAUUCAUUAACAAAGUUCUCUAAAGGUUCUCCUCUUAAGUGCAUUGUUAUUUUGUCCAUAUUAUUUUUUUAAACUGCACUUGCAUUAACCUUUUAAGGUUGCAUUGAGGUCAAGACUAGUGUUAACAAACAAACUACAGAAUUCUGAUGGUGCUGCCUGCACCUCCACGAUCUUUGUCAAAAGGCAUGGUAUCAUAAUCAUCAUCAUCAUCAUCAUCAUCAUUUAAUUUGGUUGACCUCCUAGCUAUAAAUUGGGCUGUCUGCCAAAUCCGCUCUCAGAGCAGAAUGGUUUAGGUAGGAUAAUUGAAUGACAAUGAAAAAGAAAGAGCAACUAUCAAGCAAUAGAGAAGAAUCUCCGGUGUCUUUGUCAAAUGGGCAUAAGGCUGAUCUCUCUACUGAAUACACAUUGCCAUCAUCAUGUGUACAAUACAUGAAAGUACAGUAGAGUCUCACUUAUCCAACAUAAACGGGCCGGCAGAAUGUUGGAUAAGCGAAUAUGUUGGAUGAUAAGGAGGGAUUAAGGAAAAGCCUAUUAAACAUCAAAUUAGGUUAUGAUUUUACAAAUUAAGCACCAAAACAUCAUGUUACAAUUUGACAGAAAAAGUAGUUCAAUACGCAGUAAUGCUAUGUAGUAAUCACUGUAUUUACAAAUUUAGCACCAAAAUAUCAUGAUGUAUUGAAAACAUUGACUACAAAAAUGCGUUGGAUAAUCCAGAAUGUUGGAUAAGUGAGACUCUACUCUAGUGGUAAUCUGGUAGGACUAUUCUUUUUUGUUCACCUUCCCUUUUAACAUUUCUCUAUCUUCCAAGAAUCAUAGAGGCUAGUUUUUAUUAUUCUUUUGGUUUGCAAUUGUGUUAGACAACAUAAUGGCAAACCAAAAAAAAAACCCCUAUAAAAAUGAUCGCGAGUGGCCGCCCACAGUAAUUUUUCCCAGCCCACU